GUUAAAGUCAUCAACCAGAAUGACAACAAACCUGUCUUCACUCAAAACACCUUUGAGGGACAAGUUGCUGAAAACUCAGUAAAAGGUUCUGAAGUGAUUAAGGUCGAGGCUACAGAUGCUGAUGAACCAGAUAAUGCCAACUCAGAUAUCCGUUACAGUAUUCUGAGCCAGGACCCGCAGCUGCCCAGUGACAACAUGUUUGAAAUCAACUCAGUUACUGGAGCCAUCUGAGUUGCUGGUACUGGACUAGACAGAGAGAAAUAUCCACAGUACACUCUGACAGUACAGGCAGCAGAUAUGGAGGGAGAAGGGUUAUCUGGACAAGCACAAGUAAUCCUCAAGGUGGUGGAGAGCCAGUAGUCCUGGAAAAGCUUCAGGUCUCCUGUUCCUGCUUGAGAAGCGGAGAGAAGGAGCACAAAGACAUCAGAGACAUCUAUCACUGCGCUGGAGGCUGAUUCUACAUGACGCUCUCUUCAUAU